AGCGAACGCUGGCGGCAGGCCUAACACAUGCAAGUCGAACGAACCCUUCGGGGUUAGUGGCGGACGGGUGAGUAACACGUGGGUACGUACCCUUAGGUUCGGAAUAACUCAGGGAAACUUGAGCUAAUACCGAAUGUGCCCUUCGGGGGAAAGAUUUAUCGCCUUUGGAGCGGCCCGCGUCUGAUUAGCUAGUUGGUGAGGUAAAGGCUCACCAAGGCUACGAUCAGUAGCUGGUCUGAGAGGAUGGCCAGCCACACUGGGACUGAGACACGGCCCAGACUCCUACGGGAGGCAGCAGUGGGGAAUCUUGCGCAAUGGGCGAAAGCCUGACGCAGCCAUGCCGCGUGGAUGAUGAAGGUCUUAGGAUUGUAAAAUCCUUUCACCGGUGAAGAUAAUGACUGUAGCCGGAGAAGAAGCCCCGGCUAACUUCGUGCCAGCCGCCGCGGUAAGAC
rnacentral:rRNA from 1 species